rnacentral:rRNA from 1 species
UACAGAGGUCUCAAGCGUUGUUCGGAUUUAUUGGGCGUAAAGGGUGCGCAGGCUGUAUGGUAAGUUUGGUGUGAAAUCCUGGGGCUUAACCCCAGAAUUGCACUGAAUACUGCCGUGCUAGAGGACUGGAGAGGAGAUUGGAAUUCACGGUGUAGCAGUGAAAUGCGUAGAUAUCGUGAGGAAGACCAGUGGCGAAGGCGGGUCUCUGGACAGUUCCUGACGCUGAGGCACGAAGGCCAGGGGAGCAAACGGG